UUCGAGUGCAGUUGCGAUAUGGUAAAAUUGGAGAAAAGGGAGGGGUAAAAGGAGCACGAGGAAGGGAUCCACUUUGUAAUUCAGAAUAACGCAGUCGAUAGAGAAAUAUGGUGGCGCUUGCUGGUAGGAGGGGAAGGAGAUGGGCGAGGUGGAAAGGCGGAGCGCUCGAAAGGAUGAAGGUUAACGAGAGAAGUCUAAAAAGUAACUUAACGAGGGCAAUGGUGAUGGGGGGUUAAAGGAAGGAUAGAGAGGGUGGGGAGGUGUGGGGUAAGGAGAAGAUAGCGAAGGAGAGGGAGGAGGAAGGAGGAAGGGGAGAGGUAAGAAAACAAGGUGAAGCAAAGUUAGACGAGAGAAGAGGAGAAGAGGAGAAGAGAAGAAGAGGAGAAGAGAAGAAGAGAAGAGGUAUAGACAAGAGGAAUACCAGAGGUGAACAGCAUAUGAAAUAUAAGUGUUGGUGUUGGUAUUUGUUUGUUUGUUUGUUUUUUAAAUAUGUAUAGGUGGU